rnacentral:rRNA from 1 species
UACGUAGGGGGCAAGCGUUGUCCGGAUUUAUUGGGCGUAAAGAGCGUGUAGGCGGCUUUGCAAGUCAGUUGUGAAAACUCGAGGCUCAACCUCGAGACGCCGGUGGAAACUGCAAAGCUAGAGUCCGGAAGAGGAGAGUGGAAUUCCUGGUGUAGCGGUGAAAUGCGCAGAUAUCAGGAAGAACACCCGUGGCGAAGGCGGCUCUCUGGGACGGUACUGACGCUGAGACGCGAAAGCGUGGGGAGCGAACAGG